AAUGAACGUUGGCGGCGUGGAUUAGGCAUGCAAGUCGAGCGCGAACCCCGCAAGGGGUGAAAGCGGCGAAAGGGAGAGUAACGCGUGGGUAUCUGCCCUCGGGACUGGGAUAGCUGCGGGAAACUGCAGGUAAUACCAGAUGACGUCCUCGGACCAAAGGUGUGAUUCCGCCUGCGGAUGAGCCCGCGUCCUAUUAGCUAGUUGGUAGGGUAAUGGCCUACCAAGGCAAUGAUGGGUACUGGGUGUGAGAGCACGACCCAGCUCACUGGGACUGAGACACUGCCCAGACACCUACGGGUGGCUGCAGUCGAGAAUCUUCGGCAAUGGGCGAAAGCCUGACCGAGCGACGCCGCGUGUGGGAUGAAGGCCUUCGGGUUGUAAACCGCUGUCAGAGGGGAGGAAUGGGCGGAGGGUAAUCUCUUCGUUUUGACCUAUCCUCAGAGGAAGUACGGGCUAAGUUCGUGCCAGCCGCCGCGGUAAUAC
rnacentral:rRNA from 1 species